rnacentral:lncRNA from 1 species
CUUCUGCCACUUGGACAUCAUCUGGGUGAACACUCCUGAUUCAAGUGCUGAGGCUCAGAGAGCUUAAGCGCCUCCCCCAAGAUCACACAGCAAGUGGGGACCAGAUGGGGGCAGCUUAGCUAUGAGCCUGUGUUUACUUCUGUGAGAUGGAGUGGCCGCCCUUCCUCCAGAGCUAGCUGAGAGCCUUCUUUGAGAACAGGGGGACCAGCCUGUCUGAGAGGGGAGAGAGACUAGGAGGUUCCCAAUUCCCAACUUCAACAGACAGCUCCUUACGGCCUGGGAAACCCGCCAAGACGCCGGCGCCGCUCCCUGCCAAGGCGCUGUCAGUGCUCCAGUGCCAGGGACCCCGCCUGUGCCACCUUCUGCCUUCGAAGGCCCUGGACAUUUCCACAGUCAAGAGCCUCUUUGCCAAGCGACAACAGGAGGC